CUCCUACGGGAGGCAGCAGUGGGGAAUAUUGCACAAUGGGGGAAACCCUGAUGCAGCGACGCCGCGUGGAGGAAGAAGGUCUUCGGAUUGUAAACUCCUGUUGUUGAGGAAGAUAAUGACGGUACUCAACAAGGAAGUGACGGCUAACUACGUGCCAGCAGCCGCGGUAAAACGUAGGUCACAAGCGUUGUCCGGAAUUACUGGGUGUAAAGGGAGCGCAGGCGGACCGGCAAGUUGGAAGUGAAAACUAUGGGCUCAACCCAUAAAUUGCUUUCAAAACUGCUGGCCUUGAGUAGUGCAGAGGUAGGUGGAAUUCCCGGUGUAGCGGUGGAAUGCGUAGAUAUCGGGAGGAACACCAGUGGCGAAGGCGACCUACUGGGCACCAACUGACGCUGAGGCUCGAAAGCAUGGGUAGCAAACAGGAUUAGAUACCCUGGUAGUCCAUGCCGUAAACGAUGAUUACUAGGUGUUGGAGGAUUGACCCCUUCAGUGCCGCAGUUAACACAAUAAGUAAUCCACCUGGGGAGUACGACCGCAAGGUUGAAACUCAAAGGAAUUGACGGGGGCCCGCACAAGCAGUGGAGUAUGUGGUUUAAUUCGAAGCAACGCGAAGAACCUUACCAGGUCUUGACAUCCGAUGCAUAGUGCAGAGAUGCAUGAAGUCCUUCGGGACAUCGAGACAGGUGGUGCAUGGUUGUCGUCAGCUCGUGUCGUGAGAUGUUGGGUUAAGUCCCGCAACGAGCGCAACCCUUAUUGCCAGUUACUACGUAAGAGGACUCUGGCGAGACUGCCGUUGACAAAACGGAGGAAGGUGGGGAUGACGUCAAAUCAUCAUGCCCUUUAUGACCUGGGCUACACACGUACUACAAUGGCGUUUAACAAAGAGAAGCAAGACCGCGAGGUGGAGCAAAACUCAAAAACAACGUCUCAGUUCAGAUUGCAGGCUGCAACUCGCCUGCAUGAAGUCGGAAUUGCUAGUAAUCGCGGAUCAGCAUGCCGCGGUGAAUACGUUCCCGGGCCUUGUACACACCGC
rnacentral:rRNA from 1 species